GUGCUCACUUCAGGAGCACAUGUACUAAAAUCAGAAUGAUAUAGAGAAGAUUUUCAUGGCCCUUGUACAAGGAUGACAUGCAAAUUCAUGAAGCUAAAUUAAUUCAC